UACGUAGGGGGCUAGCGUUGUCCGGAAUCAUUGGGCGUAAAGCGCGCGUAGGCGGCCCGGUAAGUCCGCUGUGAAAGUCAAGGGCUCAACCCUUGAAUGCCGGUGGAUACUGUCGGGCUAGAGUCCGGAAGAGGCGAGUGGAACUCCUGGUGUAGCGGUGGAAUGCGCAGAUAUCAGGAAGAACACCGACGGCGAAGGCAGCUCGCUGGGACGGUACUGACGCUGAGACGCGAAAGCGUGGGGAGCGAACAGG
rnacentral:rRNA from 1 species